rnacentral:tRNA from 1 species
GCCGGAGUGGCGGAAUGGCAGACGCGCGUGACUCAAAAUCACGUAUCCGUAAGGGUGUGUGGGUUCAAGUCCCUCCUCCGGUA